CUUUUAUUAAAAAUCUUCAUUCUGCUGAAUGCAUCAUACAGUUAAUACAGUUUCUAUUGAUCUCGGUAGGUCACUACCCCAGUGUGGACAUGUUUGUUUUUCUGAACAUGUUUUUCAGCAAAUAAUUCAUUGACGUACAAGGAAAGCUAUGAAAAAUAUCAUCAUCUAGGCCAUGGGUAAUCUUCAGGUUUAUUGCAGCAGCUUAAGAGAAAAAUGUGAACAUAUGCAGGGCACAUACCAACAUGUGUUGUAUUUUUCUGAAUGUUAAACACAAGCAGUACUAAGAUUCAACAUGACUAACUGUUUGAUGCCAAAGUUAGUUGGAACUCAACUCACUGUACAUACUCUAACACAGAUAACUGGUGCUGUUGCCUUUCAGCCACUGGCAGGAAAAUUAUUCUUUACUUCAGAAAAUUGGAAAGCUGCUGGAGUAAUCUGGUGUUCAUGCUCAUUUGAUUCAUUUCGUGCCACUUAGUGAAAGCCGAAAGGCAUGUCGAAUUCAAUUGAGCCGUGCUGUCUCGAAGCAAGCAAUCCAGCCGUUGCGUUCAGUCAUUUGGAACAGGAAUCUAAUGGCUGUCAAAAGGUGGCUGACUGGCUGUGAAUAAUGUCCACCAGGUGCGCGAGUGUCUUCAGGGGCGAAUAGCGGCCAUUUUUUCCCAAGACGCAGCAGAAAUGGGUUGUUGGUUGUGACGUUCCUCGCGAUGAAAAUUAAAAGGUGAUUCAGCACGUAGAAACCAAUUUGCCAAAUCAUUCAACUCAGACUUGGAAGUGCCU